GGUGAACGCUGGCGGUAGGCCUAACACAUGCAAGUCGAACGGCAGCACAGUAAGAGCUUGCUCUUACGGGUGGCGAGUGGCGGACGGGUGAGGAAUACAUCGGAAUCUACUUUUUCGUGGGGGAUAACGUAGGGAAACUUACGCUAAUACCGCAUACGACCUACGGGUGAAAGCAGGGGAUCUUCGGACCUUGCGCGAUUGAAUGAGCCGAUGUCGGAUUAGCUAGUUGGCGGGGUAAAGGCCCACCAAGGCGACGAUCCGUAGCUGGUCUGAGAGGAUGAUCAGCCACACUGGAACUGAGACACGGUCCAGACUCCUACGGGAGGCAGCAGUGGGGAAUAUUGGACAAUGGGCGCAAGCCUGAUCCGGCCAUACCGCGUGGGUGAAGAAGGCCUUCGGGUUGUAAAGCCCUUUUGUUGGGAAAGAAAAGCAGCAGGUUAAUACCCCGCUGUUCUGACGGUACCCAAAGAAUAAGCACCGGCUAACUUCGUG
rnacentral:rRNA from 1 species